CACGUAGGGGGCUAGCGUUGUCCGGAAUCAUUGGGCGUAAAGAGCGUGUAGGCGGUCCGGUAAGUCCGCUGUGAAAGUCGGGGGCUCAACCCUCGAAUGCCGGUGGAUACUGUCGGGCUAGAGUGCGGAAGAGGCGAGUGGAAUUCCUGGGUGAUAGCGGUGAAAUGCGGCAGACUAUCAGGAGGAACACCGAUGGCGAAGGCAGG
rnacentral:rRNA from 1 species